rnacentral:rRNA from 1 species
GUCUUGUUGRUUAUAAUUUCAAGUYUGACCUGCCCMGUGAGGAGUUUAACGGCCSCGGUAUUUUGACCGUGCAAAGGUAGCAUAAUCMUUAGUUUUUUAAUUGGAAGSUUGUWUGAAAGGUUUGAUGAAAAAAAGACYGUYUYUGUAAAAAUUUAUUAGAAUUUUAUUUUUAAGUUAGAAAGSUUAAAUUUAAAUAGAAGACGAGAAGACCCUAUAGAGUUUUAUAUUUUGUGAAUWAAMUAGGUUAUAGGGUUWAGAAAUUUGGUUAUUUAAAAAAAUAUUUUGUUGGGGUGAUGGAAAAAUUGAGUAAACUUUUUUUUUUGAGUACAUUUAUUUGUGAGUAAUUGAUCCUAGAGUAUAGAUUGUAAGAUAAAAUUACCUUAGGGAUAACAGCGUAAUUUUUUUUAGAGUUCUUAUCGAAAAAAGAGAUUGCGACCUCGAUGUUGGAUUAAAAUUUAUUUCUGGUGCAGAGGCUAGAAAAUUAGGUCUGUUCGACCUUUAAAAUUUUAC